GUUAUCCCAAAAUGUUGUCUUUUUGGGUAUGUUUAAUUAUAUAUAAUAUGAAAUUAAGAAUUCUAGUUUCAUCUCACCGUGAUAAAGUUUGAAUUUGGCUAUAACCUAAACUGCUGGAUUAUCCCAAAAUGUUGUCUUUGGCAGGAAUUUUUGGUAUAUCAGGUUACUGGUAUACUGAUGAACAGAUUAAUAAUUAGAGAACUGGGUUCUGCUUGAUAAUAUGCUUCCACUUUAUCAUGUGGAAACUUACCAUGCAAUUGCAACAGGCUUGCAUUGAAAUGUUGAGCUGGAUAGUAUUAGUAUUUAGUAAUUACAUCUUGAGUUGCGGUUUUCCAAUAUUAUGUUAAGCCUUCUAAUGUUUCUUAUAAACAAAAGACUUUUCUGAAUUUCAGAAAAUGGAGGUUGAGCGCAUUACACGCCACUUUUUGCAAGGCAAGUUAUUACUCGAAGUUGAGGUUUCCAUGCCCCCUGACAUAUUGAUACGGGAUGCGAUAGAAGUAGCAGAAGCAGUUAAAAAGGAAAUUUUGAGGGCAGCGUCAGAUAUCAUUCAAGUGAGGAUUCAGCUAAGAUUGGGGCAGCCA
rnacentral:misc_RNA from 1 species